UAUAUGAUAUAAUAGAGUACGUGUUUCAAAGAUUGAGCUGCUAGAAAUGCAUUGUGUAUAAAGACUAAACAAAAACAAAACUUUUCCUUUGAUAAGUCACGAAUAGUUACUUAUUCUAGGGCUUAGCACUAUAAGUGCAGGCGUCAGCGUUAUCCGUUCUUUUCAAAUUUGUGAAAGGAAGAGUACAUCUUUAUAAUGUUACUUUGUACGAACUAAUGUACCACCGAGGCAUCAGCGCAUUCACAUAUGUAUAUAACUUUAGGUUGUAUAAAUGGGUAUCUGUACGAUCAUUGUUUUGAUAACACAGUACAACAAAUUACGACAAUUUUUUCAGCGGCGAUGAGAUAGUAAUUUUCGGAAAGAGGUCAUUGUCCUGAUCAUUUUGUCCGAAGAAAGUAAUAGACUGCUAGGUCUAAGGGUUUUGUUACACACAGUUAAAGUUUUAAGGUCUACGGAGUGGUUUAAUCAUCAAUAAAAUAUUGUAAACCUUGGUUUUUGUGUAGCGUUUUGAAUUAAACUUCGUACCGGGGGUUUUUAAGCUCAAGGAAUUCGAAUUUUGGGUCUAAUUUAAAAUUGUAGACAAUUUAGAGGGCGCCACCGUACAAAAAAAGUAAAAAAUCAAUUGAACGCCAUCUACAGGUUAAAUGGUUGAUCUAAAACCUAAACAAUGUUCAGCAAAAAUGUUCCUAAUGAAAAAUUAGGGAGGCUCUUGUACAACAAAACUUUUAGACCACAAUUUCACACUUAAAUAUAUACAACACCUAAAAUAACACAACAUUUACAUAUUAUUUCAAAUUUUACUUUUAAUUGAAAUAAAUUUUUAAUUUAUAAAAGACUAGCAAACCUGGCGAACCCCGUUUCGCCACCAGAUGGCUUUGGUUUAUGUAAUAUUUCGUUUGGUGAUUAAAAGAUGAAGAACAUUUUUUUUUUGUUUUAUAUUUGGAAAGGAAAAAUUUUAUUUCAUUUGAAAUGAAAAAUGAAGUGUUAUUUAGUUGAACUUCUCUAAGUAAAUGAAAGUGGAUCCAAAGUAAAUACUGAAUCGAAGCGUUAUACGUGUCCGCAAAUUAUCCGUUUCAUUGAAGUGCUCUUUGGAAAACCACAUUUUUUGUUUUUUGGUCUGACGUUAACACAAACAAAGCGGAUGGUUUCCCAACUCGUGAACACGCAACGUAUAACUGCCCAUGUGAAAAACAAUGAUUUUCUAAAUUUAUCCCGCAAACACUAAGCGAUUGGCCAUGCGACUUGUUAAUUGUCAUUGCGAACGCAAGGCGAACUGGAAAUUGCAAUCGUUUGAAGUCAAACGGAAGAUCAGUCGAAAUAUAUACAUUUUCACCUGCGUACUUUCCGUUAAUAAUGGUUGCUUCAAUCAAAUUCGGCAUAAGUCUUUUUACCGAAAAUCGAGUACCGUUGCAAAGUCGCGGCGGAUUCAAAUUACGCAAUAUCAUAAUAACUGUACCAACUUUGAGUUGCAAGUUAUGUGGUGGAAAUCCUGGUAACUCCAGAGAGUUCAAAAACUCCGUUGGAUAAUUUACUACAUCAUCGGGAUUUGUUAUGGAAUCAACGGAAUUGUAUGUCACCAAAUCGCCAGCAAUUUUUGAUUGAAUGGUGAAACUCAGUGCCUGUGCAUCAUUAUUCUUUGCGGCAAGAAUUGCUCGUUGACUUAACCAAGCAUAAUUCUGAUAAUUCGCACUAAUGGUUUGGAAAACAUUUUCAAAAAUAGCUAAUUGAGAGUCUACAAAUCGGCAAAAGUCGUUGCUAACAAUUGUUUGGAAAAUUGUGCAGCAAUUCGAUCAUUUUGAAGUUGAACUCUCAUAUUAGUGGUCCAUAAAGGUGAUGCCUUCAGGCAAGCAUUCAAUUCAUCUGCAUCCGUUGCACGGGGAAUUACUGGCAACGUCUGCCUGUCAACAAUAAUUGCAGCAACAUCAUUAACGGUGGGUGCAUUGAAUCUUCGCACAUGUUUACCUGUUGGGGUACAAUCAGCAUUUUGACAAAUUUGUGCGUAUCCGAUGGCAUUCGUUCCAAUGCUGUUUUGAACAUAUUAACCACAGCAUUAUUAGCGUGAAAAAAUGCUUGUAACUGUUCAAUAAUUCGUCUCUUUAACUGUUGUGUUCCCUGUAUAUUGCACCGCUCAUUCAGCUGAUCGACCAUCGACGAAAUGAAAUAUAUUUGCAGAAAUUUAUGCGGUUCAUCUGGUGUUGGCACCAUUGAACCAUGCAAAUGAUAUAUUUGUCCUUGUAUCUGUAAUUGCAAACAAUCAUUUGUUGAAGAAUACGGUGUAACUUAUGAUCGUGUGAUGGUGUUUUUUUUUUGUCAUGCGAAAGCAGUUAUUGUAUUCAAGGAUGUGUUGAAGAAAAUGGCUGGAAUCGGGAUCACUUCCAUCGAACAAUGGUUUCAGUGGCUGUGGUGGUGUAAGUAAUGGAUCCAGUUUGACUUUUCCACUUGCGCAGCACAAUCCAGCCGCUUCUCUUUUGAACUUUAACGCAUUGCAAUAUCGGCAUAUAGUCGUCAUUGGUCCAAUAUCUAAGUUUGCAUCAUCACUGUAGUUCGCAGUGGGAUCAGAUUGGAAUGCCAAGCGAUUGUAUGAUGCCAAUGAUCUUCGUGUGCUCACGCGUUGUCUCAAUCACACGUGUUGCUGGCUUGCAUGCUUGUGCGGCGGCCGAUGUUGGCACGUCGUCCUCUAGGCAUUUUGGACUAUGGAUAGAGUGGUGAAUUUAACCUCAAAUGCACGCUCCACAUAAUUUAUACAGUUCAACUUACCACCUUAAAGACAAAUGCCUGUUGUUGAAAUUGAAUAAAAAUUUGCACAAUACACGUGAUUGAUUUGAUGGUUUCCAAUUGAAAUGUUAGUUCCAAUUGUAAUGAACGAAUAACUUAUUUUUCACAAUUUCACAGUGAACACAAUACCGGUUUGUCACAUGAAAUUAAUUGAGCAGAGAACAAUGAGUAGCUGUCAAACAAUGUAUCACGCACCGGCGCCAUCUACUUAAAAUAUUGGUUUGUAGUACAUGCUAUGUAUCACAGAUGGCGCUGUAUGUGAAAAAAGAUUUUCCCGCCUUUCUGUUAAAAUAUUUCCUGAAUUUUCUUUGCUAUAAACCUCACGGAGCCCGAGACCUUUCCAACGAAUACAAAACCGUGGAAAUCGGUUCGUGCGUUCUGGAGUUAUAGCGUCAGGAAG